GAUGAACGCUGGCGGCGUGCUUAACACAUGCAAGUCGAACGAUUAAGCCCAGCUUGCUGGGUGGUUUAGUGGCGAACGGGUGAGUAACACGUGAGUAACCUGCCCUUAACUCUGGGAUAAGCUUGGGCAACUAGAUCUACUACCGGAAAUGCGCGACCACAGCAUGGUGGGUGUUGGAAUGAUUUAUCGGUAUUGGCUGGACUCGUGGCAUGUCAGCUUGUUGGUGAGGUAUUGGCUCACCAAGGCGACGACUGGUAGCCGGCCUGAGAGGGUGACCGUCCGUCCUGCGGCGGAUAAACGGCCCAGACUUCUACUGGAGGCAGCAGUCGUGAACAUUGCACAACAGGCGAAAGCCUGAUGCAGCGACGCCGCGUGAGGGAAGUCGGCCGUCGGGUGGUAAACCUCUAUCAGUAGGGAAGAAGCGAAAGUGACGGUACCUGCAGAAGAAGCACCGGCUAACUACGUG
rnacentral:rRNA from 1 species